ensembl:snoRNA
GUGCAUACCAGUAGACCUCAUCUGGCUUUGCCUCGUGGCCAGUUGAGGGGGACAGUGUAUGCAAGAGGAAAUGUGGAGUGACUGCCAGAUCUAUAGGCUGCCAAAUUAAUGGCUUGGCUGGACUGCAUUACUUCCAUAGAC